rnacentral:lncRNA from 1 species
CACUGACUUGCCUCAAUUCAAAUGACUUGGCAAAAGGUCGAGCAGGACAUGGCACGCAGAUCUCAAGAACCCUGCACCCGCUCUUCCCAUGUCACCAGGCUGCCAUUCUGCUAAUGAUGACCACUUAACACUUCUUGUUUAUUGUAUAAAUUCUGACUCAAAGUCCAGCAAAAUCCCAUUUAAGUACUACAUAGAAUGUGCCAAAAAUAUAUUUAAAUAGGUAGCUGAGCUUGGAAGAAAGUAGGAGAAAUCUCCAAGGGCAAAAAAAAAGUAGUAGUUGUCCCUGGGGAAGGAGAACAUUACUCAUCUUAAUAACCCCUGGGGCCGGGGCUUCAAUGUCCACUGGGAUCCCCACCUUCAGGCAAGGCAGACAGUGACAGUGAACCACAGACAGCUCCAAAAGAAGCCCUGCAGUGAAUGCUCAAGGAGACAGCAAGGGAACCCAAAAUGCUCAAAGAAAGUGGAGGAAUUCGCAUUUCUCUUCUUCUUUCCAGGCUCUCCUGAAGUAACCUCUAAGCACACCCCUGAGUUCAUAGAAGCCCAAACUCUGAAGAAUGGGGAACCCCUAUUCUAGUUCUCCCCUCUCUCUGCCCUCCUGCCACUUAGCACCAGAUGUGGUACCAUCAUAGAAAUGCCUACUACUGUGGGGUAACUAGAGUCUCAGCUUUCUGUCCACAGGGCUGGAGACAGGGAGUCCUGGGGAACUGUGAAGUGCCAGGGAGGUUGCACACCAGCAGCAGGUCAGGAAAGUGACCCUGAAAAGUCACUUAUGAACUCCUGAGCUCACCAUAACUCCCUAAACAGAAAACCAUAUCCUUUAAGAACUAAAAUGUAGAAUAGACUGGUGACUGGGGGCACAAACUCAAUUGCAAAGGCUUUGAACUAGAACUGUUACUGAAUCACAGG